GGGAUUGUAGGCAAAUUGGACAUGCCGCUUGCCGAGCAAGAGCUGAGCACUACGAAAGGGUCGCGCCCUUAGUAUCUCAGACGGUUCUAGAGCCGUAUUGCUGGUUCGAAUCCAGCCAAUCCCC
rnacentral:tRNA from 1 species